UACGUAGGUGGCAAGCGUUAUCCGGAAUUACUGGGCGUAAAGCGCACGCAGGUGGUUGUCUAAGACGGACGUGAAAGCUCCUGGCUUAACUGGGAGAGGUCGUUGGUGACUGGAUGACUUGAGGCGAGGAGAGGGGUGUAGAAUUCCCGGUGUAGUGGUGGAAUGCGUAGAGAUCGGGAGGAAUACCAGUGGCGAAAGCGACACCCUGGCCUUGGCCUGACGCUCAGGUGCGAAAGCGUGGGGAGCGAACGGG
rnacentral:misc_RNA from 1 species